UUAAUUAUAUUAAUAUAGGAAAUCCUCGAAUCCUUAUCUCAUUAACUUGCAACCUUCGAGAAUUUGUCAGAACAUGCAUGCCAUCAUUGCCUUGUUUACACAGCUCAACAAAUACUUGCAGGUAGAUGUUUUGCAACCUUGAUUGGGGCAUGCAAGUAGAUAUUCACAAAUUUAGCCACUUCCUUAAAUAGUCUGUUGCACAAUCUUGGUUGGUACAUGCAAAUCGGAAUAUUAACAAUUGAAUUUUAGUUUUGAAUUUUGAAAAAUAAAGAGAUUAUAUUCUUAAAAAAAUAAAAAUAUAAAGAUUAAAUUUUAAAUUUGUAAAGAGUUAGGGACCAAUAAUAUAUUUAACACUUUUUAUGUAAUAAUUGAAACAACAAUCUCAAAUUUGACAAAUUUAGCCAACAUUAUUGUUGAGCAGUUGAGAUACUGUAAAAAGGUAGAAAAUGUUGGUCUCCUUUGAGUGAGGAAUUCUUUUUUCUUCUAUGAACAAAGUUUCAGAAAAGGAGGCCUCACCAUUAUUGAGUAACGUAUAUUAAUAAGGUAGUUGAUGUUAAAUUCAAUUUUAGUGAAUUUUCUUAAGAUCGACAGUUUGAGAAUUUUAGAUUUGAUGAUGUUGAUAUUUGUUGAUACAAUUAUACAAUAAGGAGGGAAUAUGGAUGAGAGAGUAAUGAUUGUUAUGGAGGCCGGUUUAUCUAGUCGGAAGUUAUAAAGAGUGGGGGAAUAUGAAUGAGAGAAUGAUGGUUGCUAUGGAGGCCGGUUUAUCUGGUCAGGGUGAAGAGUCGGAGGUUACAAAGAGUGAAGAUAAGAGGAAUAUGAAGGCUAAGGGUUAAAGGUAAGUUACAAGAAUAUAGAUUUGAUUUCUUGGAGAGUAGAUCUCUUCUUCCUUGUUCCAAGAGGCAUUUAUAGGGAAGGAUCUGUGUAAGGUCACGUUAAUGUGUUGGACUUGCAUUAAGCCAUCAUUAGGGGAUGCGUGGGGUGGAUGUCUUCGAUGGGAGAUAUAUCUGAUAAGACAGAUCCUAUCAUUUAUUCUGCCUAGAUGGUAUGGAACAUUUGAACCUAUGUAGUAUUUGGUGACCAACAACUUCAUACUUCCAAUGAAGCUUAGGUAUUCGGAUAGUGGAUAGCUUGCACUUGUUUGAAUGGUCAUCCUGAAAAGGAAAACUCGCAAGUGACCUUCCAGUUUAUUGGUGACAGUCUUACCAUUUGAACACCUUUCUAGCUUGCCAUGUAUCUUGAUGCCAAUGAAAGUAAAACAAUAUUUUAAAUUAAAAACAAACAUAAAAUUAGAUUUAUGAAACUAUUAAUUAGAAACUUCAGUAAUUUGAUUAUAUGCUGAAAUUCUUCAAGGAACAACGAACACUUAAAUAGCAUGAUACAAGACAAAUAAAAUCACCAUUGGAUAUUCUAGCUUGUCGUACCUAAGACAAAAGUUCUCCACAUACAUGCAAGUAGCGAGCAACCCUAAGCUUCCACUUUAAUUUAUUUGGCACGUUUAGAAUUAAUGUUUAAGUUGGUAGUUAAUUUUUUCAACAAUAUUACUUCUAAGAUUUAAGUUUAUUUAUUGUUAUUAAAAAAUACACUAUAUCUUCCCACUAUUCUCCGCACUUAUUUAUAUCUUUCUUUAUUAUCUGACUACUAAAAUGCUUAAUUCCCUUCACCAUUAUAAUAUAUUCUUUAUUGAUUCUUUAAAAAGCAUCCUAAAACACAGGUAUCAACGCUGCCUUAGUUUACAUUUGUCUUGCAAGACAUUAAAAAAAACAGAGAGAGAGAGAGAUCAUUGACAAUAAGAAUAUUAGAAUUGAAAUUUAUCAAUACCACAUUUUAAGAAAGAUGGUAAGAACCAAACUUGAAGGAAACGUUACUAGUACAGACAGGUGUCAAAUGACCAGUGGAGGCUCCUAACCUUUGUCGUCAUUCACAACAGCCAAGAAUUUUCUAUUUUUCUGUUUUCACUCUCUUCAGCAGAUUGCUCCACGUCUCUCCUCUUAUUCUCUAUUAUAAAAACUAUUUUUGCUCUCAAUCUCCAGUAUAAAAUGUACCAAAAAUGAUCCAUCAAAUAGUAUGAAGGAAUUCAUUUUCUCAUUUUCUGAUUCUCUUUUAUUUUCAGUAUUUAGUCUAUAUUUUACACUUUUCUUGACUUAGUAUCAGAGCCUUUCUUCCUCACGAAUUAAGCUUCCGUUAUGACUAGAGGUGCUCAUGGGCCGGCCCGGGAAAAAAAUCAUAAGCCCGAGCCUGGCCCGACCCAUUUUUUAAUAAAUACCAAAAAAUUAUUUUAAAAAUUAAAAAAAUUAUUUUAAAAAUAUUUUAAAAAUAUUUUAAAAUUUAAAAAAAAUUAAAAAGUAUUUUAAAAUUAAAAAAUUAUAAAAAAAGUAUUUUAAAAUUAAAAAAAUUAAAAAUAUUUAUUAUAUCAGGCCGAGCCGGGCCGGGCCCAGGCCAAAAAAGUGGUGCCCGAGGCCCGGCCCGUUUUUUAAACGGGCCUUAUUUUUUGCCCAAGCCCAUAUUUCGGGCCUAUAUUUUUACCCAAACCCUCCCAUAUUUCGGGCGGGCCGUCGGGCAGGGCCGAGCCGCCCGGCCCAUGAGCACCUCUAGUUAUGACCAACACCAACAGUAACGCCACCAUUCAAACGACUGAAUCUGUCACUGCCUCCGGUGCGAUUGGGAGCUCCGUCGAUGGCUUUGAUGGAAGACUUUUUGCAACCAAAAAGCUUAACAUUAUCCUAGAUGAUGACAACUACUUAUUGUGGCAGCAACAAUUUUUACUGACAGCCAAAACCUUUAAACUUCAAGGCUACUUAGACGACACCCUGGUUCCACCUCCCUCGAUGAUACCCGAUGAAAGUGGUGGGUCAACACCAAACCCAGUUUUUGCAAGAUAUCAGCAAUAAGAUAGUGCUCUUGCUUCUUGGUUGCUUUCAUCAGUAAGUCAAACUGUUCUUCUUCACCUUAUUGGAAUGAACACUUCUUCUCAAAUAUGGCAAACUUUGGCCCGUGUCUAUGGCAGCAAAAUAACCUCCAAGUUAAUGUUUUAUCGUCGAGCACUUCAUUCUUAACGCAAAGGUGAUUUGAGCAUGAAGGUAUUUACUUAAAAUUAAAAGUUUCUGUGAUAACUUAGCAAUUUGUGAAGAAAUGUUAGUGAAUAUGAGCAUGUUACGGCUAUUUUAAAUGGCUUAUCUACUGAUUUUAAAUAUGUUAUUACUGUCAUCUCGGCUAGUCCUAUUCCAUACAGUGUUCAAACGGUAGCCACACUUCUUAUUGAUGCUGAAGCUCGACAACAAACUCUUCUCGCCUCUAUUCCAGUUGCUGCCAAUAUGAUUACCACUCAAAGUUCUCAAAACAAUGGAGAAACUCCCUCUUACAGACCACCCAAUCCUUUUUCUUUUCGAGGUCGAGGAAGGGGUCGAUUCAAUAAUUCUAGGCUCCAAUGCCAACUUUGCAGAAAGCCCGGGCAUCUGGUAGAUCGAUGCUACUUUCGUUUCGAUCAAAACUAAAAGGCUUCUACUUACAGAUCUCCCUCUUCACAACCGGGAACACAAGCUCCUCAAGCCUAUGUUGCUGCCUUCAACACCUCUCAAUUGACAUCAACUGGUGGGUCAUCCUUUGUGCAUAAUAGUGGGACAGCACCAUGGGCCCCACCUCCUUCACUUGAACCAUAUGGUUAUUGGAUUUAUCAAACCUCACAUCUCCAGAAUGCUAAUGCUAAUGCUUCCAUGCCACCAACCACUACUCUGCCUAAUAAUGCCAAUGCUUAUAUUGCAACUCCUAGGACAAUAAGUGAUCCAAGUUGGUACACAGACUCUAGUGCUACCCACCAUAUAACUCACUCUUCUGAAUCCAUGGGUGAAAAAGCUUCAUAUUUUGGACCAGGUACAAUUUAUGUUGUUAAUGGUUGUAGUCUUCCUGUUAUGCAUAUUGGUCAAUUGUCUUUAAUUACUCAAACACGACCUUUAGUCAUGUGCUCUUUACUUUAUGUUCCUGGCAUCACUAAAAAUCUUCUCUCUGUUUCCAAGUUCACUAGUGAUAAUCAAGUGGUGCUUGAGUUUUUUCCAAAGGAGUGCAAGGUUCGGGACCUAAAGAAUAAUGAAGUUCUGUUGCAUGGAGAUGUUCAUGGUGGUUUAUAUCGUUUAAAGUUGCCAUUUUCUUCUUCAAAUCCGUCUGCUCAAUGUUAUGUUGCGUCGCAUGCUAUUCCGUUGUCUUUAUGGCAUGCUCGUCUUGGGCAUCCAUGCUGCUCUACUCUUGUUCAAGCUCUUCAACAUUGUAAUGUUUCAUUUCAUGAUAAUAAAAUUGGUGACUGUUUGUAACACCCAUUACCCGUAUCCAACACCGGAAUAGGGUACGAGGCAUUACCAAAACACAUACACUUGUAAACGUAUUUAACCGAGUUAUAAAAUUUCAUCAAAAUUAAAACUUUCAAAAUAAUUAACAUGUUUCUAUAACUUUUCACAAUAUAUCCUCAAAAUAUUAUAAUCAUAAUAAUUAGGGCCUGCGAGACCCGAUACAUACUCAUGCAAUUUAAUGCUUCAUUUCCAUUUCAUUCAAUUCGCAAUUUCUCAUGCUCAUAAUUUAAAUCAUAUCACUAGCAAUUUCCAUUUAAUUCACGUACAAUUCAAUGACAUCAAAUUCAAAACUAAUACGUAUUUACCAUUUAACUCAAUGUUUAUUGAUUAUACCAUUCAAUAACACAUUUAUGAAAUUCUCAAUUUAGCAAUGAAAAUAUCACUUUAGUUUGAAUAACAACAUCGUCCUGAUAUAAAUACACUACCACUUAUCCAUUUACUUUAAUUCUUUUGGGCCCAUUUGUCACUUACCAUCCUUAAUCAAAUUAGGGAACGGUCACGGAAAAUUGAGUACUUCACUUUCACUUUGCCAUAGUAUAACUAUGGUCUUACGUAUGAUCACUUAUCACUUGUCCCUGAUCAGAUAAGUGUAGCCACCUAUCACUUUGUUUCUUGAUCAGAUAAGUGUAGCCACUUAUCACUUUGUCUCUUGAUCAGAAGUACUCAAAUCCGGCGUUCCGCUCAAUUUGAUCAUUUAUUCAUAUAUCAGGCUUACCAACAUGUGUUAAUUCAUAAACCAUUCAUGGUAUUAUUUCAUGCCAAAUCAUAUACUGAAUAUACCAUACACACAUACUAUGAAACUUUAUUUUCACACAUGAGCUUAAACCAUGACCAAUAAUGCACAAAAAUAAGCAUCAUUCAUAUUUCAUCGNNNNNNNNNNNNNNNNNNNNNNNNNNNNNNNNNNNNNNNNNNNNNNNNNNNNNNNNNNNNNNNNNNNNNNNNNNNNNNNNNNNNNNNNNNNNNNNNNNNNNNNNNNNNNNNNNNNNNNNNNNNNNNNNNNNNNNNNNNNNNNNNNNNNNNNNNNNNNNNNNNNNNNNNNNGAGUCAGAGUCACUAAAUUAUUUUUAUCCGGAUCUACAGAGCUCCAAAUUAAGAUCCGUUAAUUUUCCCUGAAACUAGACUCACAUAUCUUCAUACCAUAAAAUUUUCAUAAUUUUUGGUUCAGCCAAAUAGUACAGUUUAUUCUUUAAAGUUUCCCCUGUUUCGCUGUCUGACAGUUCCGACCACUCUUCACUAAAAAUUAAUUAUCUCAUUGUACAGAAUUCGGAUGAUGUUUUAGCUUGUUUCUUCUAAAAAUAGACUCAUUAAGGAUUCUAACCAUAUAAACUAUAACUCAUAAUCAUUUUUGUACAAUUUUUAAUGAUUUUCCAAAGUCAGAACAGGGGAACCCGAAUUCAUUCUGACCUUGUCUCACAAAAUCUAUUAUAUCUCAUGAUUUACAAUUCCAUUGCUCACAUCAUUUCUUUUAUAAGAAACUAGACUCAAUAAUCUUUAGUUUCAUAUUUUAUUCAUCCUCUAAUUCAAUCUCUACAAUUUUUGGUGAUUUUUCAAAGUUACACUACUGCUGCUGUCCAAAACUGCUUUAGUGCAAAAUGUUGAUUUCCAUUUUGCCCCAAAUUUCACAGUUUAUACAAUUCGGUCCUUUCUCAAUUAACCCCUCAAUUAAUCUAAUUUUCUCAAUUAGUACUUUACUAGACAUUAUAAGUUGUUACACAACUAUUGAAAUUCAGAAUUUCCACAUAUAACUCUAUCUUCAAACUCUUUUACUAUUAGGUCCCAAACAUUCACUUUCUAUUCAAUUCUUUCAAUAAAAUCAGCAUAUGAACAAUUUAAAGCUCUAAUUUCAUGCUAAAUCAUCAUAUACUUCCAGCACAUAUUCAUAUCAACUUUCAACUUCUUUCAUAAAAUCAAAAACUAAUGAAUUUAACAAGUGAGCCUAGUUGUAAAAGUCAUAAAAAUACAAAAAUUUCAAGAAAUAGUCAAGAAUUGAACUUACUUGUAAUAAAAAUAUGAAGAACCAGCUUGAAGAAGCCCUUCCAUGGUGUUUUAGC
rnacentral:lncRNA from 1 species